rnacentral:rRNA from 1 species
UACGUAGGGUGCAAGCGUUAAUCGGAAUUACUGGGCGUAAAGCGUGCGCAGGCGGUUUUGUAAAUCAGAUGUGAAAUCCCCGGGCUUAACCUGGGAACUGCGUUUGAAACUACAAGGCUAGAGUGUGGCAGAGGGGGAUGGAAUUCCGCGUGUAGCAGUGAAAUGCGUAGAUAUGCGGAGGAACACCGAUGGCGAAGGCAAUCCCCUGGACCUGUACUGACGCUCAUGCACGAAAGCGUGGGGAGCAAACAGG